rnacentral:misc_RNA from 1 species
AUUGGGUAAAUUCCUUAAGAUGUCAAAACAUCAAGUCCCGCAGGGUGCGAGGUGGUAGUCCAAUUGACUGUUGUUUACGCUCGUUUCCUUCCGAGCGACCAUUGCUGCCAUUGAUUCAUAGCGCACGUUGCUCCGAACUGCUGUCCCGAAUUUGGAGUGAAGUAAACGAAGUGAUUCCAAGCCAACUGAGCUUCCAAAAUGUCCGCAGACGAUGACUUCAUAUCAACAUUCGAUAAAAUCAAAUGCAAGCAUGAUGAGGCAUUCCACUUGGUUGACGAUGCCAUCAAGCAAGAGGAGGAAGAUCAUCCUCAUCACGCCCUAAACCUCUACAAAAUGGCUGUCGAGGCAAUUGACGAGACGCUUGCAAUUCCCGUAAAGGUACCUGAGAACAUGGAAUUGGUGCGAUCUGAGUGGGACAAUGCAUGCCGUAUGAUCCAUAAAAUUAAACGCGCCCGAGCAGAACUCGUUCAGAGGAUCGGGGUUUUAAGCGAAAAACAAAACGCGGCUGGGAACGCCACUUCAGUCACAAGCUCGAACGCAAGCGCUACAAAUGGGACUGACACACAGCAAAGCAGACCUCGAACUUACUCUGAGCUAGCCCAGGCGUUGCGAGACAUGAAAUGCACUGGCGAAGGAAUUGAGUCAUUAGAAUUGUUGUUCUCGUGUGAGGGCGUUAAGCUCUACUACAUAAAGCCAAAUGGACUCGUUACAACUGCUCUGGAAGACUCCGUCCUACGAAUCGUACGCAUGGAAAAAGACGAGAAGAAACUUCUGAGUGCAACGUUUUUCAUACAAAUUAUCAAAACCUCUGAAGCCAUCCGCAUACAAAACGUUGAAAACAUUCCCUCUCCCGUCACUCAAGAAUCUGGAGCCGCGUCUACAGAGACUUCUGUAUCCUUACCAAAUGAGAGCAACGCUCAAAGUACAGAGAUGCGCAAACUGAAGUCGGACAACUCAUGGAUAUACCCACUCAUUCCGGGCGUAUCUCCAUGUUUCCGCACCGAAUUCGGUGCUUUCAUUCUCCCUGAUCUUGAAGCAACUGAAACCGGAUCCUCAUUUGGCAUAGUGGUCCCAAAGGAUUCCGGUGCUGAUGAAAUCGUCUUAGAAAUUCUUGAACAAAUACUGCACGGGGUCGUCAUCCAGUCAGCCGAAGCCCCUUCCCCCGCCGACCUCAGCACUCAGGUGUCAUCUAAAAUCGUGCGAGGUGCCUGCUUUGUUUCACAGAAUUUGGUUAAAGGCGCUGAGAAAGCAGGCCAAUUGAUGUCAUCCUCCACUCCUUAUUUGAUAUCGAAAAUUCGACCAGCUACCCAGGAUUCUCCAGUCUCCCCAAAUGUUCAAAAUUCCGUGGUGAUUGCAAAGAAUGUCAGCAGCACGGCCGUUGGAAUAACGGGGUUCAUUGUAGAAAAGGUGGGCUCAGCGACUAUGGCACUAGGUCGGUUCCUAGCGCCACACAUUCAGACUCACGGCUCGACUCUACUAUCAAAAGGCUUCGGAAUGGACGAGGCAACGGCUCAACAGAAGCCUCCUCCUCUUGUUUGCCGACUUGGCAUUUCAGAUGUCCGACGUUCUUACAAUCGCCGCGGGAGCCGUUGAAGGAUUUGGAACUAUUUACGCUGGCCUCGAACAAUCGGCUUCGAUUCUAGGAAAAAAUUUAAGUGAAAACUCAGUAAAAAUUAUUGAACACAAGUAUGGCUCCUCAGCAGGUUCUUUGGCUUCCGAAACCUUCGACACGGUAGGAAAUGUAAUCAACUUAACACAAAACGUGAACAGCAUCACGCCUAAAGGGAUAGCAAAACGAACAGCGAAAAAUGCCGGCCGAGCGAUUG